rnacentral:lncRNA from 1 species
UCCCCUGCCCCAGCUUUGGCGCCGCCACCUACCAAUGCACAGCACAAGCCUGACUGACACAGCCCAAAUCUUGAUUGUAAGUUUCUCAUCUUCUAUCUCUUGUUCAUGUGGUCACAUUGAUUUUGCCUUUUGAGAAAGGGUUGAAAGAAGAUUCUUUGCUUCAGACAACUGAAUGUCCAGUAAUAUCAUCAACCUUCAGCGAGCAGCGGCUCAGAACUCCAUCACCUCAAACGGCUUAGGAUAGAUUGAUGUUUCAUUCCACUUGCUUUCUGAUCCAAGUUUCAGCUGGUCCCGACCCAGCAUCUAUCUUCACUUUCAGUUAACAAACUGUAGACUAUGAAACUGAGGAAGACCCAAGGCUUUUGUGUUUUUACUAAAAAGAUUGAUUCUAAAAAUAUGCCCAGCAAUAUACAAGUUGUUUGCUAGCUAAUGGAUCAUUUAUACAGAUCUCGAGAGGGGAGUUGGACUGUGCCUUGAUAGAGCUAGACAAACUGAUAAAGAUUAUUUGAAAGGCUCUUUGCAAGCAUAAAGUGAAUCUGUAAUAGUCAACUUGUUAAUAUAGGUUGGCAAGUACAGCGUUUAUGUUUCUGAAAAUAUAUCACCAUUGUAGAUUCUGAUGAAAACUAUAUUCUCUGCCAGCCACAGAUUCAGAAUCAUGGCCUUUUGCUGCUAAGGUACAUAUUUUGAUUUCAGUUGUAUACCACGUGUUUGCUGUAAUGUUUGGCGGAGAUCAUAAAGUAAUUUUCUCUACCAAUGUUCAUAUUUCGAAAGACACAGUGUCAUGCAAGGUAAUAAAAAAUAAACUAUACUGUAUCAUAUUUUAGCUUUCAUGGAUAAGAAAUAAGUUAUGGCUAUAUAAAUCAAUGAGAGGCUAAUCAUUUGAAAUGGCAUGGAGCAGCGGCACCAUCACGGAGCAUGACGAGGCGUUGCAGUGAAGCUAUAGAGCGCGUUGUUCCACGGUGAGCUCCCAAAUUCACAUGGUGGAUUCUAGAUUACUGGAGCUAUACAAGGCAGCCAUGUGACAACAGAGUAAACUGGAGUGAAAUAAAGUGAUGGAGCCAAAGAAAGAGUGUAGGGCAGUCACGUGGCAUACACAAGGUGAAAGUUCUACAUAAAGACUAACAGAAACAUGGGAAAAUCACAAGGAUGUUCCAUUCAAUACAAACAUGUACAUGUUACAAAAUGGUUGUUUUGCACUGUAAUUUGGUUGAGUUUAGUUCUGGAGAAUGAGUAUGUUCGUUCGGUACUUAGCUUUUAGCAGUAUGUAGAAUAUGAAAGGAUUUGCUGGAAAUUGGGAUAAAUAAUAUGCGUGUGAACUAAAUUUUUUCUUUGAGCUCAUACUAAACGAGAAAAUGCUUCAAAUUUAUGAGGUUGCCUGGGAAGCUAAUGAAGACAGACCAGUGAAU